AGAAACGUAGGCAAAAUGAGAGAGGUAACCCCAGAGGGCCCUUGUUUGGGUUCACACACCAGUCUAGGCAGGUGGAAUCCAGAGGGAACACAGGCACAGGUGGAGAGGAGAAGUGGGACUGAGUAAGCAACUGUGUGAUACCUAUUUGCCAGCUGGU